rnacentral:misc_RNA from 1 species
ACCAAGCUAAAACAAAACCAACAAAUUGAGGAAAAAAUAGUGAAAAGAACCGAAUAAAAAACGAGGAAAACCCCAAUGCGAAAGUUUUCUCACUAACUAAGGGAUUUGUCUGCAUGGUGGAGAGUAUUGUGGGUCAAGGUCAAGAGCUGACAGAGGGCCCCCUUCAUAAUUGAUAGCGAACUCGCUUAGAAACGUGAUCCAGACCGAGUCUUAGGCAGCUUCGUGUACGUAUUUUCCUGGUGCCCCUGUGUCCUGUGUUGUCUGUCCUGCCUAGUGCUAAGUCAGAAUGUUUGAGCCUCGAUUAGAGCCGAUUUGUGGCAGUUGAAAGUCGUUUCCAGCGCGGCAAUAAGAAAAGCACACACACACGCACACACACAUAUACACAUACAACCACCCAUCCAACCACACAGUGACACGAUACUUUUUUUGCUGGUGUGAGUGUGUGUGUUUUUUUAAUGUAGUGUGCGCGCGUACGUUCGCGUGUGUGUGUGUGUGUGAGUAGGUUUUUUCCGUGUUUCUGAAGAAUGCAAAUAAACGGUGUCGCUGCCGGACCCACGAUGGCCGCAUCAGAGCCACCAGAGCCACCGCCGCGCAAUCCGGAUCGCAUAAAUGCCUCACUGCACAAGCUCAGCGAAUCCAAAAUUGUUAAAUCACUGGACUCGAGUCUGAUCAAGGAGAAGUCCGUCUCCGUUAACAACAAUAAGCCUAUACGGCCGCUGCUCUCUCUGGAUAACUCUGUUACCGCCUCCACAUCAGCGGCAGCCGCAGCGACAGCAGCAGGAGCAGCAGCAGCAGCAGCUGGAGCUGGAGCAGUAGGCGGAGCCCCUGUCAAGCCAUCGCCCCUGGUACUUACCAGCAAACGAGACCUCACGCCCAGCAACGACAGCAGCUCCUCGCCGGCCAGCUCGAAUGGCAGCAAUCAGACACUUACGCCACCCAUGACCAACGACAACCAGCAGCAGCAGCAGCAACAGCAGCAUCGACCACCAUCAUAUCCUGGGAAGAGCGAGGUCGUCGGUCUGCCACAGCCACAAUUGCCGAAUGGCCUCGGAGGCACGGCCAAUGCGAACUCUAUCCCCGGCCCAGCCAUGAUCCAUGCGAAUAACUCAAAUUUAAUUGCCGCUGGUCACCUGGCACAGGGAGUUGCCGUCUCCUCCAGCUCCGCUUCGACGUCCACCGCCAACAGCUCCUCCGGCGGCAGUGCACUAAAUGCGGUCGACAAGCGGAAUGCCAAUGAUGUUUGCCCAAUUGUGAAAUUAAUGGAACCGAAGUCAAUGGCAACCGCAAGAGCAGCUCCAGCUUCAGCUCCAUCUCCACCCGCAGUAUCCGCCAAUAUGAAUCCAUCAUUAUCUGGCUUCCUGACUCUGGGGCCACCGCAUUCUCCGACAUCCGCUGCCUCGGCAGCCCUCCUCAUGCUCGAGUCCUGCGAUGGCAAUCGCAACGAAGAGACAAAGGUCCGACUCCGAGGUGCCUCUGGCUGGGGCUCAGACUCUGGUCCAGCUUCAGAAUCCGGCAUGAAGCUGCGAGAGGAGAACGAUCGUCUCAGUGCGGAGCUGGUUCGCUUGCGUCGACUGCUCGAGCUGUCCACAGACGGGGCCGUCGGCGGCGUGGAUCCCACAGAGGCAGAUGCUCGUGGCAAUAAUGGAACAGCCGCACAGGAUCGCAUUGAACGCCUGGAGUCGGAGCUGCGUACGGUCAAGAAUCAGCUGCUGACCAUGCGGCUGGAGCGGAAGAAACUGCGAACUGACAAAUCCGAUCUGCUGGGACAGGUGAAACAGCUGUGCGCCUCGCUGCAGGAGAAGGAACAGGAGCUGCGCGACUUUAUCCGCAACUUCCAGGAGCGGGUGCGAGAGUCGGAGACUACAAAUGCAAAGAUCUCGGGCGAUCGAGAUCGGGAGCGCUUCCAGCUGCUCAAGCAGGCCCGGGAUGAGGCCGAGCGCUCACUAGCCCUGGCCCAGCAGCUCUCGGCUCGUGACCUGCAGCUGCAGCGACUUCAAGAGCAGCUCCAGGAGGCGCGUCGCCAGCUCACAGGCUGCCUCUCCGACCAGGAGAGUCUCCACUCGUUUGCCCCACUGACUCCGCCCUCAGCGGCCUCUGGCAUGCUCAGCCAGAUGGCAUCCGGCUCUGGCAUGGGUGGAGUACUGGGCGGCCUUCGCGGCACAGCCGACGACAGUGGCCGCGGCAACUCCCUGUCGGCAUUCAGUGGCAGCCUGAGCGGCGGAUCCGGGGCAACAGCAGGCGAUCGAAACUCGUGCUCGAAUGACUCGGGUCUGCGGAACAGCAGCGACCGGGAAAGCACUGGCGGAGAGUUGAACUUCAGCGAUGGCACCUGCGACAAUGGACCGUGCAUCACCGUGGAUCCCGACAGCAUUUCUCUCGUCUCCAGCCAGAACAUGUAUCAAUUUGGAACGCCCAAAGAACGAAGCCCCACAUUGUCGCCCUUGAACUCGGCUGCCUACUCCAGAUCCGUGGAGCAGCUGGGCUCGCCGGUGGACCCCGAUGGCCCAGGGGGGGCUGGAGCCAUAACCCGGAAAUUUGCCUGUGCCACAAAGAGUGGACCGUUGGGAGCACGCAAUGGUCGUGGGGGAACCUGGGGCAGCAUAUCGCGUGUGUUUGCUCGAUCCCGCAACAAGAACAAGGCCCUGUCCGCCGAUGGAGUGACUGAAUACACCGACUACUCGUGGAAUCCGCUCUCUGAGGAGGGCUAUGCCGACAAGAUACGGCUGCUGCGGGAGGCUUCUCAGUUGCCCAUGGAGCGCUGGCGGGCCACCCAGGUGCUGGCCUGGUUGGAGGUGGCCCUGGGCAUGCCCCAAUAUAGUGGCCGCUGUGCGGAGAACGUGAAGAGCGGGAAAGUUUUGCUGGAGCUGAACGACAUCGAGCUUGAGGCCGGUCUUGGCCUGGCCCAUCCCAUGCACCGCAAGAAGCUGCGUCUGGCCAUCGAGGAGCAGCGACGACCGGAACUAGUACGGUAUCCACUCAUCACCCAACUGGGCCACACCUGGGUGGCCUCCGAAUGGCUGCCGGACAUUGGAUUGCCGCAGUACGCGGAGCCGUUUCUGCAGUCCCUCGUCGAUGCUCGCAUGCUGGACACGCUGUCCAAGAAGGAGCUGGAGAAGUUUCUGGGCGUGACCCGAAAGUUCCAUCAGGCCAGCAUUGUGCAUGGCAUUCACGUGUUGCGCAUCGUGAAGUACGACCGCCAGACGCUGGCCAUGAGACGCGUGCAAUCCGAGACGGUGGACACGGACCCCAUUGUUUGGACAAAUCAGCGCUUCAUACGCUGGGUUCGAUCCAUCGACCUGGGCGAGUACGCCGAUAACCUGAAGGAUAGCGGCGUUCACGGCGGACUCGUCGUGCUGGAGCCAUCCUUCUCGGGCGAUACUAUGGCCACGGCUCUGGGCAUUCCCCCAUCGAAGAACAUAAUACGACGACAUCUGAACACGGAAUUCGAUGCCCUCAUUUUGCCAGCAAGAGCGACUCUGGGUCAAGGCAUCCGUUCAGGUUGCGGCGUAGUGCCCCUGACUGGACCCGGCGGACUGCAGCACUAUGCCACAACAGACCGCCGCUCGAGCGGCAGCCUCAGGCCUGACUUGACGUGAAGCUUUUGUUGUCUCUCUGUGUCUAACUACUACUACUACUACUAGUCUCCUAUAAUAUUCCACCCACUAGAGGUGCCACUCAGAUCUUUCACACCACAAUACGUAUAUACUCCAUAUCAAUGAUUGUUUUCUUACAUAUAGUAUGUACAUACAUACGUGUACGUAGUCCCAGCUAACACCCGACGACAGAUAAGUAUGACCUAAGUUAAGGAUAUCCCUCUUAUCGAUUACUCCCAUGAUAUAAGCAUGUUCAUGUUGUUGCAAAUAAUUCAGCUAACCAUCAAGACAAUCUACAGACACAACAAUAAAUACACUUCAAUAAUAUCAGAUACAAUUUCAGCAUACAUUUGUAAAUUCGAACAAAACAAUUCAAAAUUUAGACAUCCUGCAACAACAAAAGUUUCACGACAUUUCCAAAUGAUUCUGUAAUUUUUUUCUCUUCAAUCAAUUUGAAUAUCCAGACGGGAGAAGUAUAUAUUCGUACUGUACCUUAUUAAUCCGAACCCAAAAUUUGUCUCUCUUUCAUUUCUGGUUACCCACAGAUUUCGGCAUGGAAAGGAUCUCAGAGCUCUCUUUCCAAAGCCUUUCGGUUCAAUACUAAACCCCAUCGCGCCGGCGAUCGCAGCUCCUUCGGCAACUCCA